rnacentral:misc_RNA from 1 species
GGCACGGCCUCUUGACGUGAUAAUGAUCGUCGUGGGCUGGAAGUGUAGUGUCUGGCUUCUAAUCAUUGAUUGCGUGCAUACGGCCCAUAAAGCUGGAAGCGCAACAAACAUUGACUACGUGCAUACGGCCCUUGAAGCUGGAAGCGUAGUCGAAAUUGACAUUUGACCUCAAAUCAGGUAGGACUACCCGCUGAACUUAA